GCGACAGCAUCCUCAACAUCGGCCCCUGCGCCAACGCGGCCAUGGGGGAGCCGGCCUUCCUGUCCGAGGAGUUUCAGAACAGCCCCGAGCCCGACCUGGAGAUCGUGCUUUGCUCCGGCUACGGCAAGAACGGCGCCCUCUCCGUGCUGCAG